rnacentral:rRNA from 1 species
AAAGGAAUAGACGGGGACCCGCACAAGCGGUGGAGCAUGUGGUUUAAUUCGAAGCAACGCGAAGAACCUUACCAAGUCUUGACAUCCCAUUGACAAUACAUGUAAUGUGUACUCUCUUCGGAGCAAUGGUGACAGGUGGUGCAUGGUUGUCGUCAGCUCGUGUCGUGAGAUGUUGGGUUAAGUCCCGCAACGAGCGCAACCCUUAUUUUUAGUAGCCAGCAGUUCGGCUGGGCACUCUAGAGAGACUGCCAGGGAUAACCUGGAGGAAGGCGGGGAUGACGUCAAAUCAUCAUGCCCCUUAUGACUUGGGCUACACACGUGCUACAAUGGCGUAAACAAAGAGAAGCAAAUCCGCGAGGCCGAGCAAAUCUCAAAAAUAACGUCCCAGUUCGGAUUGUAGUCUGCAACUCGACUACAUGAAGCUGGAAUCGCUAGUAAUCGCGAAUCAGAAUGUCGCGGUGAAUACGUUCCCGGGUCUUGUACACACCGCCCGU